AUUGAACGCUGGCGGCAGGCCUAACACAUGCAAGUCGAACGGUAACAGGAAGAAGCUUGCUUCUUUGCUGACGAGUGGCGGACGGGUGAGUAAUGUCUGGGAAACUGCCUGAUGGAGGGGGAUAACUACUGGAAACGGUAGCUAAUACCGCAUAACGUCGCAAGACCAAAGAGGGGGACCUUCGGGUCUCUUGCCAUCGGAUGUGCCCAGAUGGGAUUAGCUAGUAGGUGGGGUAACGGCUCACCUAGGCGACGAUCCCUAGCUGGUCUGAGAGGAUGACCAGCCACACUGGAACUGAGACACGGUCCAGACUCCUACGGGAGGCAGCAGUGGGGAAUAUUGCACAAUGGGCGCAAGCCUGAUGCAGCCAUGCCGCGUGUAUGAAGAAGGCCUUCGGGUUGUAAAGUACUUUCAGCGGGGAGGAAGGGAGUAAAGUUAAUACCUUUGCUCAUUGACGUUACCCGCAGAAGAAGCACCGGCUAACUCCGUG
rnacentral:rRNA from 1 species